CACACACACACACACACACACACACAAGGCCCAGUUUGCCAGCCCAGCAGACAGGUUCGCGCAUUGCUCAGACCAAACAAAACCUGCCACUGAUAAGGAACGGUUGCUCUCCCCCACUGACCAAAGGGGAUGUGAUGUGCGAGCAACGUUGCCAGAUUAUCGUACUCAAGAGCCGCGUAUUUACCGGUUUCUGUCCCAUAACUGUUGCCAAGAAGCACCAAUAAUUAACCAUUUAAACGAUAACCAUAUAUGAAGGCAGUUAUUUGGGUGACGAAAGCAGUUAUUGGGUUGGAUAUCGGCAAACAUGAGGCAGAGUACGACAAUCUGGCGACGUUGUGUGAGUUCCCAGUUUUGUUCAUACAUCGACUAACACCGAGUUCUGUCAAAGAGUGAACUGGAUGUAUGCGAUUUCGAGUCUAGCGUGUGAUCAUACCAUACACACACACACACACACACACACACACACACACACACACACACACACCAAGGGGUCAUCGGUCGUCAAGCAGCAGCGUUUUAUAAUCAAUAUCAAGAUGAAUGCAAGGAUAAAGAAGGUAUUGAAAGAUGCUUCACUUCAACAUCUGAGUAAAGAACGAGACACCAAACAGACGGGUAUUCACGCUGACAUGACCUCUUCAAGUGAAUAAAACACCCACUCCGGCAGAUGUAAGAUGAACUAUACAUAUAUAUUCCCUACAAAAUACAGAGUGUACUGGAUGGCAAGCUCGAGUCUAGCACGUAAUUAAACCACACACACACACACACAUCAAGGAGCCAUCGGUCGUCAAGCAGCAGCGUUUUAUAAUCAAUAUCAAGAUGAAUACGCGUGGCUAUUUUAUUCGUCUUCCUUAUUUACGUGGGGUUGGGAAGGCUACAAAUACUCGUGGCUGUUUUUUCGUCUUUCUUAUUUACGUGGGGUUGGGAAGGCUACAAAUACUCGUGGCUGUUUUUUCGUCUUUCUUAUUUACGUGGGGUUGGGAAGGCUACAAAUACUGGUGGCUGUUUUCUUCGUCUUGCUUAUUUACGUGGGGUUGGGAAGGCUACAAAUACUCGUGGCUGUUUUCUUCGUCUUCCUUAUUUACGUGGGGUUGGGAAGGCUACAAAUACUCGUGGCUGUUUUCUUCGUCUUCCUUAUCUACGUGGGAACCCGAGGCUGUAGUUUAAGAGGAAUAGGAGGAGAGAGGAAAGAAUUAUGUACAAACUUGCAGCAUUGGGCUAUACAACUGGCCCAGAGAACGAACACUCCCCAAGUAAGUUUUUCCUGGUUUACCGAUUCUUCAUUUCCGCCCCACACCGCCCUUUCCCGCCACAGAGCUCAGUGGUCACAAAACAGGACAAAAGACGUAUAUUCGCUUCGAAAGAUAAACAACAAGGACGAUAACGAACACUCCCCAAGCAAGUUUUUCCUGGUUUACAGAUUCUUCAUUUCCGCCUCACAACGUCCUUUCCCGCCACAGAGCUCAGUGGUCACAUAACAGGACAAAAGAUGUAUAUUCGCUUCAAAAUGAGAUAUAACGAUGAUGAGAAAGAACACUCCCUAAGUAAGUUUUUCCUAGAUCACCGAUUCUUCAUUUCCGACCCCCAACGUCCUUUCCCGCCACAGAGCUCAGUGGUCACAUGGCAGGAUAAAAGAUGUAUAUUUGCUUCAAAAUGAGAUAUAACGAUUAUGAAAAAGAACACUCCCUAAGUAAGUUUUUCCUAGAUCACCGAUUCUUCAUUUCCGACCCGCAACGUCCUUUCCCGCCACAGCUCCUUUGUCGUCACAGAGCUCAGCGGUUACGUGUAGGGACGGAGGAGAUCCACCCGUGAUAAUCUACAGCCGCUAAAAACGAUCACUCUGCUGUCAACUCCAUUACCCUGACUUCCCUUCGUAUCUCCAGUGCCCUGACUCCCGUUCUUCCUCCCCUAUCUAUUGCUACACGCAUUUCGAAACAAGUGACAUGCAAGCUGGUUAUAGUGAUGUUCGGGCUAUCAAACGCUCUCGGCUCUCACAAAUAUUUUCAAUGCCACAUAGAUCAGUUGGGUUUUCAUGAGUGCUUUUCACUUUCAUGGUGCAGAAGUCUUGUUAAACUAUCACUACGCUCAUACAACUCCCCAUGGAAAUACCUACAACAUACAGGAAAGCAUUAUCAUUGAGUGUAUAUAUGUAAGAUCCGAAAUACGUGAGAGUAUAAGUCUGAAGUCUAUACAUAUUAUAGCAAUAAGAACAUAGGGAGAUUCCUAGAGGCCGAAUGGACUACACAAGGCAGCUCCAGAUUCCCCCCUGACUACUAAGGCUACCUGACAAUGAUGCAUGUAUAUACUGUUUGAAAUUAAUAAAGACAAGCUUGGACGCCGCCCUUGUUGACCUGACUCGGGAAUACUAACACAAAGGGUGAGGUGUGUGUGUGUGUGUGUGUGUGUGUGUGUGUGUGUGUGUGUGUGUGUGUGUGUGUGUGUGUGUGUGUGUGUGUG